rnacentral:rRNA from 1 species
CCUACGGGAGGCAGCAGUGGGGGAUAUUGCACAAUGGGGGGAACCCUGAUGCAGUGACGCCGCGUGGGUGAAGAAGCGCCUCGGCGCGUAAAGCCCUGUCAGCAGGGAAGAAAAUGACGGUACCUGAAGAAGAAGCCCCGGCUAACUACGUGCCAGCAGCCGCGGUAAUACGUAGGGAGCAAGCGUUAUCCGGUUUUACUGGGUGUAAAGGGCGUGUAGGCGGGCAUGCAAGCCAGAAGUGAAAUCUGGGGGCUUAACCCCCAAACUGCUUUUGGAACUGCGUGUCUUGAGUGAUGGAGAGGCAG